rnacentral:rRNA from 1 species
ACACCAGCACCUCAAGUGGUCAGGAUGAUUAUUGGGCCUAAAGCAUCCGUAGCCUGCUUUGCCAGUUUUCGGUUAAAUCCAUACGCUUAACGUAUGGGCUGCCGGAAAUACUACAAAGCUAGGGAGUGGGAGAGGUAGACGGUACUCGGGAGGAAGUGGUAAAAUGCUUUGAUCUCUCGAUGACCACCUGUGGCGAAGGCGGUCUACCAGAACACGUCCGACGGUGAGGGAUGAAAGCUGGGGGAGCAAACCGGAUUAGAAACCCUGGUAGUCC